ACAGUUACCAAUUCGAUGGUAAAUAUUUCCCUCGGGAGUUGGUGGAGACCAGAAACUGAGCUAAAAGAGUGAAUGUUGGACUUACAUCUAUCAGGUGGCCAGAAACAAGAA